rnacentral:sRNA from 1 species
AUAUAAUAAAUCCAUUAAUAUAUAGUGCGUGGCUGUUCACAGUCAGAGCACUAUAUCUAUUAGAUGGGUAAACAGACAUGAGCAAAACAGGGCGAUAGCCCGAUUUGCGAAUGGAUGUUGUGAUUUCGGGAGUUCGCAGAACGGAGAAAUCACGAUUAUAU